UGGAAGGCUUUUACCCUUCCUUGGGGUUUAACCCCCAAAUGGGGUUUAUUUGGGUCAUACCCAAAUAUAAUGAUGAGGGCCUACAGCAGGAAGUGUCAGAGGAGAGAAAGGAGUUUAUGUUGUUGAAGUAGAACAGACUGGAUAUGUUGGGUGAAUGAUAGUGAGGAGUAGAGGAUGACAACUAGGUCAUCUACUUCCAGGCCAGAGAAGCUUUUGUAGGUAGGGAGAAUGAGGAUAGGGAUAAGGACGGACCUGGAGAAUUGAGUUAUUUCCCGUCCUCUCCCCAGCUGAAGCUGAGCUGCGCACGUUCAUUUUCAAAUCCUACCAGCCAAGUCCAGAUUCUCCCCAGGGGGGCCAGGAGUGAUGCCCUUCACAACAGCUACGUGCGACCUUGACCUUGGCCCAGGGCCGGCCAGCGCUACCGCAGCGCAAACGCCCUCGCCCUUUCAUUCUCCCCGCGAGCCCUGCUUUUUUC